AGCUUUGCGCAGUGGCAGUAUCAUAGCCAGUGAGGUUUAUCUGUGGCGCAAUUAUUGCUAAUUGAAAAUUCAUUUACAGGGACGCCUAGGUGGCUCAAUUAAGCGUCUGCCUUUAACUCAGGUCACGAUCCUAGGGUC
ensembl:snRNA U4 U4 spliceosomal RNA